GUUUACACGUCUCCAGUGAGUUACGAUCUAGAUCACAUAGAAAUGUCUCGUCGAGUGGCAGAAACUGAUCGCAAUGGAAUACAUAUUUUAUUGAGAUAUAAUGGAGAGGAUUAUGAAUAUCUUCUUCAAGAGUCACACUUCAGUUCUUCUACUUUUAAAGUUAAAGAUCUCAUAUCAAAGAUUCUUAAUGAAUUAGAGGAAUCACAGUUGAACCAUAUUUUGGUUAUUAAAAAAGAGGAUAACACUGAGCUAGUAAUGAAUGGUGAAAGCCUCUUGUCACUUUAUCAUGAAACUUUACAAGAGUCUGUUUAUGUGGAGAUCAGAUCGCAAACUAUUAACAGUGGUACAUCUAGUUGAUUAUCUCAAGGUUUCAUGAGAGGACAGAUGUUGUUGUUUUUAUUACCAGCAUCUAGCUUCCCAUUGGUUCUCAACCUUUUAAGAAUAAGCAAAUGAUAUUGGUCCUCUUACAGCCAAAAGGAACACUUACAGAUAAAAGCAUUCUGCAUUCAUUGGAGGGACAUGUAGACUUUUCAUAUUGCCUUUUUUAUUUACCCUGCUUGGCGAUCUUUUACAUUAAUACUUUGUUUUUUUUGUCUGAUAAAUGGUAUUAUUGAUUUCCUAACACAAUGUUUAUGUAUAUCAUAUAAAACAAUGCUUAUACUAAAGAUCACUCUCUUACGUCUCAAGAAAUGAGUUUAAUCAAGCCUGUAGCUUUUAGGUUUGCUGCAUGAAAGUAAGUUCUUUGACCAUUUUCUAAGCAGCACUAAAGUCUGCGUUUUGAGAACCUAAGUUUAUGCCAAAAAAGCUUCAUUGGUGCUGAUGCAUCUUUCUGUCUGAUUGAUUCUCCUUUCAUAAUGGGUCCAUUUAAGCUUUUAAACUUGGUUUAGUCACUUUCUCAUAUAGACAUAUUGAAAUAUAUGAUUGAUUUAUAAAAUAUUCUGCAUUGGUGUUAGCACAAAACAUUUUAUUUAGAAGUGAGUUAUAUGGGACAAUCCAUCUGUUGUCUUCAUUUCUUGCCAAGUAUUUUUGUUGGAUUGUGUAAUAUUUGCUGUGUAUUCACUAUCUCUCAAUUUUCUCUCUUUUUUAUUUUACAAUAGAAAUCCAUGUUUACUUAUUUGUGUUUUUUUAUCUGUCUUUUGGAUUUUUUGGGAACAUCUUCCUUAAAUCAUAUAUGGUGAGUUAUUGUUGAGAUCUUCACAUGGGCCAUAGAUUGAAACCAAUCAUUAUAGAUGGACUGAACACUGACCUGCCAUGUAAUAAAAAGUCCUUUUAAAUCACUUUGUUGUUCAUGAGUGCAUGACAAAUUUGAAGCAUUCCUUAUCCCAUCAAGCCAACUUUGUUGAGUUCAGAUGUUUUUAUCUAGCCUUAUACACUGCCUUAUUUAAAGUCAUCCAUUUUGCAAGAUGCAUUUUGCUUUUCCGAUUCUUGGAAGUGUUAAUCAAACAUUCUCUUUUAGCUUGAAGUCUAGAAGCUCUUUUCUUUCUUACUAACACAAGGUAUUUUUGUCCAUUUAUCAUCAGUAGUAGCAUGCCACAUUUACAGAGUAGUAAAAUAUGAGAAUAAUACAAAUUAUCAAAAUAGUAAAAAAUUUCCUGUAUUUAUAUCAAAAAUUGUGUUAAAUGUACAUCAGUGCUUUUAAGCAAAGCAUUUUUAAUCAUUUUUCUUUUCUUAAGUGAAAGUAGCACUUUUAUUUGUAGACAUUAGAAACCUUUUCUAGAAUUCCAAUUCUUUUAAGACUGUUUUAGUAUUUUUGUGUUAGUGUUCAAAUGAAGCUGGCAGCAAAGAAAUAAAUGACUUUCAAAUAGGGAAGCUAACUUAAUUCAUGUAUAUUUCAGAUCUCUUUUAUAUGUUAAUGAUAAUAAUAAUAUGUAAACAAUAUGUUGUGAUGAUUACUGGUUUGUCUGGUAUUCCUGAUAUUCAGAUUAGCUGGUUUAAAUCUGUAUCAUAUCCUUUUGUUUUUUUAAUUAUAAAUACACUUUCAAAUUUAUAUGAAUACUUUUUAUUUCCAUGUUUUUGUAUGAAAAAAUAAAUUAUAUUGCAAAUGAAUGUUGUUUGCAAUAGUAUUAUAAUUUUUAAAUUAUACUUUUAAUAGACAUAGUUUUUGAAGUGUCUUUCAGGGAAUUACACUUUUCAAUUUAUGCUCAAUUUUACUUCAUGUUGUUAAUUUUAUGUUAAUUACUUUUGUAUGGCGUAUCUAUCAUGCUAUGUCAUGCUCAGUGCACUCUGGUCCAAUCUCUUUUCUGGAGUUUAAUUUGCUGCCUUAAGACGCUCAGCAAACACAACUCAGCCCAAGCCAGGAUUUAAACUUAAGCCCCUUAGCUAGCUGUGUGUAUGUUUAUAUGGUGAUGGUAGGAAGAUGUUAGCCAUUGGAAUAGUUGUCGUUUGGUCUUAGGACACACGACUCCAGAAUGAAAGGUUGUGUUAUUGUAGUGAGUUAGAUUUUGUUAAUAUUAUUCCCAAAGUCUACUACAUGUAUUUCAUUUAUCACAAGUUGAUUUUGUCUAUAUUAUAAAUAAUGUGUUAUUUAGUUUGUUCACAAAAGAAGUUAUUCAAGUUAUUUGAAGUUUUAUUUGUUAAGAUACAUUACGCCUACAACGGUUUAGUUGUCUACCAGCAGUUUGAUGCUACAAGUCAACAACCAGUAAAAAUACUAGCCAAUCAGUUUAUGCCUCCCAAUAUUAACUUGACUCAAUGUUUAAGGAAUCAUUAUAUAUCAUCUGGGACUGCAUAGCCACAGGAAAUACUGCAUUCCUCAUUAAUCUUUGGACUUGAAGACAAGCCUUAUUAUUAUAAUGUUCAUUUUUCUAGAACUCUAAGAAUUCAGAAAUGUUGUUCUUAUUGUAUUUAUUAUCCAUUGGAUUUCUUUGAGUACAUGUAAGUUGUAUUUCUAUCCCUAUUUAUCAAAAUAUUGUUAAAAUUUCAAGACAUAUCAAACUCAUGACAUUUAGCAAUAUACUCCCCCUAAUUUGACAACCAUUUUUUCAUCUCUUUUUGUAUUAUUUUUUUUAUCAAUAUUUAAAGCUCAAUACCAGUAUUGUUGUGUUUAAAAAAUGAGAAUUAUGAGUUUUUGUGUAUGAAUAUAUCUUGCACAAUGAUUGUUUUAUGAAAACAAUGUAGCCUACAUAUCAUUUUAAGUUAACAUGUAAAAUAAAAAGCAAUUUAGAAAUCGGUUUGAAUUAUCUGUAAACCUUAUCUAGACUCUUGUAAUAAAUUCAGUGGAAUCCAUAAAAUUUGAAACUCUUCUUAAUUCAAAUUCAUUUUUUUCAAACUCUUUGUUCUUUUUGAAUAAAAAGUGGUUUAGCUGUGAAGUCAAUUAUGCCCAUUUCUGAUAAAACAAAACAUUUAAAUUGUGUGAUUUGCUACCACCCAUUACAAGACAGCAUUCGAUCUUUCAGUCUAUUUCCUAGCAUUCCAUUAGUGUGUGUGCAUGGUGUAAGGUACAUCAUGUUCAGGCCCAGUGUUGGGAUCACUAUUACAUGCUGUAUAGCUGUUUUCUAAGUUCUAAACAGAAUGACAUCAUCAAUGUAAGUCCAAAUUCCUUAAAGAGAAAAUACUUAUCUUUGACUAUUGAAACAAAAAUAAAAGUCAUUACUUAAGGAUGUCAAAAAAUCAAGUGUACAAAUCGACUAAAUAAUUUCUUAUUGCAAACCGCAAGUACCUGUACAAGUUGUAGUCAUUUUCAUUUUUAAAAUAUAUUUUAAAAAUAGUAUUACAUUAUUUUUUUCUUAUUAUGUAAUUGCUUUAUGUUGAUUUUGGGCUUGAAAUGUAGCAGACUAAAUUCUAGUAGAGAAAUGUAUUUGUAAUAAUUAUUACUAUGCUAUGCAUUUAUGUUGCCCUACUCAAAAUUAAAUAUCAAUAUCACACUACAGUAGAUCCCUGGACACAUUGGCAUCAUGGGAAAUGAAAAGGCAGAUAAGCUAUCAAAGGCAAGUUCAUCUAUGGAACAACCAGACAGACCUGUAAGCCACUUCACCCUAAGGUCAAUGUUAAUCAACAAUCACAAAGAGGAGUGGCUCAACCAAUGGGCACCAGGAAACACAGGCAGAGCCAAAAUAAACUCCACACAACUUCCCCCUUUGCAGACACUGCGCCCACCCUUAUGAAACCUUAAACUAUAUCCUCUUUGAAUGCCCCUCCCUAACCCACCUUAGGCAGACCCUACGUCCACUCCAGCCCAACAUAACCAACACCCUGUACGGCAGUGCUGAACAACUGAAGAAAAUGGCAAACUAUUUUUCCUUGGCACAGUCUGCAAAAGAGCUGACAGCUCAGCAGCAAUAAAGCUGGCUAGAAGAAGAAGAAGUGGCCGGUGCCCUACACUUGAUUUUUUGACAUCCAUAAGUAAUGACUUUUAUUUUGUUUCAAUAGUCAAAGAUACUGUUUACAUUUGGGGGGGUAUUUUGUGACUUAUGUAUAAAUCUUUUAUUUGCAUAAUGUUAUUUGCUAAUAUUUAAUUUGUACCAUUAGCUUCAAUUUUAUAUUCUUCUGAUUUUGCAAAGUUUAUUUUAUAAAUUUAUUAUUAUUAUUACAAUG